AUGAGUUGGUCCAAGAUGAAGAAAGUGAUGCGGCGAGAGUUUGUGCCUCCAACCUACACGGAACAUCUUCAACGCCAAUUGGAGAACACCAUACAAGGAUCCAAGUCCCUCGACGAGUACUUCAAGAACAUGAAGGAAGCCUUGCGACGUGCCGGCGUGGACGACCCCAUUUGGAUGAAGUUCUACUUCAUGAUGGGAUUGAACAACGACAUCUCCAAGACUAUCUUCCUCGAGAACUACAAGUCCCUCGAUGACAACUACUUUGGUGCUCUCAAGGCGGAGCAAGAACUCAAGAAGGCCACGUCUACUCGACCCCGAGCUCACUUUGCAACGACCAUGCUACAAGAUGGCGAGAGUGAUGAUGUGCCAUCUUCGGCCUUCAUACAUGACGAGAGUGAUGAUGUGCCAUCUUCGGCCUUCAUCCACGACGACGACUACGAGAUGGUUGAGCAUGGGAUGCUCCCUUCGACCACGGCAAUGUAUGAUGACUUGAGUGAUUUUUGCCACCAUAUUGAGAGUGAGAGUGACUUCACCACUAGCCCCAUAUAUGAUGAGCUGCCCCAAUUCCCAUGUGAGGAGAGCCACCACCACCACCACUUGAGUGAUUUGAGUGACUCCACCAUAUGCGACAUUGAGUGCACCUACCUUGAGGGAGUGAGUGAGCCAACACCACAUAGGGAGAGUGAGAUAGUUGAUGAGGCAUAUGAGGCCAUUUCUCUUUCUAACAACUUAACCUCUACCUUUAUUAUGUCUUCUCAUUUGGUGCUAGGUCCCAUAUAUGAUGACGCGCCGAUCCUCGACGACUUCGUCCUCCCUUUGGACAUGACGAUGUCCAUGGUGGACUAUGAUGCACCCCCCACAUGGUUCCAUCACGAUGACGAUGAACAUGAUUUGGUCUUUCCCACCUCAUCUACACCACUUGAGUGGAAUGAUAAAGGUAACAUAGGUGAAGGUGAUGCUCUAGUCCCACUAGUGGACAUUCUUGAUUUUGAUUGCUUGCAUGAUGUUGAUCCACCUAUUACCAUGCUUCAUGCUAGUAUGAUUUCCCCAUGCGAUGAUUUGCCCAUUUAUGAUGAGUUUGAUGAUUGCCAUGAGGAGUCUAGUAGUUGUGAUGCCAUGUUACAUAGGAUUUCUUGUGAUAAUUCUCUUGGUCACAUCAUGUUUGAUAAUCCGCUUGACUUGUCAUAUGCUAUGCAUGAGAUCUCCCUUAUGUCAUAUUUGCAAUCUCAUUGUAGUGACUAUGCAUAUGCCAUUAAAAUAAACCCAAUUUGCACAUAUGUCAUAGAUGACAAGCCCAUGGUUAUUGGCAUUUGUUUUUCUCGUGAUGAUAUUGAUAUGCUCCCUUUGCAUCAAUUAUCUAAUAUGCCAUGCCAUGACCACCGAGCUUCGAACAUGCAUUGUUUGCCAUGUUGUCCAUUUUCUCCAUAUUAUGCUUCCGAUAUUGCUCAUGAGGAGACCCCCAUAGUUUCCUCAUACCCAUUAGGAGAUUUUGAUCCAUCCUAUGAUUUGCAUGAUUUCCAUGAUUAUGUGCACCAUAUGCUCCCCAUGAAUAAACAUGCUUUUCAUGUGCCAUAUACUUGUUUGCUCAAUUUGUGUCCCCACCGUGUCAUACAUAACAACUAUUCUUUCAUUAUGGAUGACAUGUUCAUAUACCAUGCCUCAAAUUUCUUUGAGCAUUGCUUAUCUUGUGCUAACUCACACGUGCACAUACACAUCAUGAUGGAUGAUGUGUACAUUUACCACACACACAAUUUCUUUCGUUUGUCUCUUUUGUGUAGGUACCCAUGA
rnacentral:rRNA from 1 species